AUUGAACGCUGGCGGCAUGCUUUACACAUGCAAGUCGAACGGCAGCGCGGGCUUCGGCCUGGCGACGAGUGGCGAACGGGUGAGUAAUGCAUCGGAACGUGCCCAGUAGUGGGGGAUAGCCCGGCGAAAGCCGGAUUAAUACCGCAUACGACCUGAGGGUGAAAGCGGGGGACCGAAAGGCCUCGCGCUAUUGGAGCGGCCGAUGUCGGAUUAGCUAGUUGGUGGGGUAAAGGCUUACCAAGGCGACGAUCCGUAGCUGGUCUGAGAGGACGACCAGCCACACUGGGACUGAGACACGGCCCAGACUCCUACGGGAGGCAGCAGUGGGGAAUUUUGGACAAUGGGGGCAACCCUGAUCCAGCCAUGCCGCGUGCGGGAAGAAGGCCUUCGGGUUGUAAACCGCUUUUGUUCGGGAAGAAAUCCUCUGGGCUAAUACCCCGGGGGGAUGACGGUACCGGAAGAAUAAGCACCGGCUAACUACGUG
rnacentral:rRNA from 1 species